rnacentral:rRNA from 1 species
UACGGAGGGAGCUAGCGUUGUUCGGAAUUACUGGGCGUAAAGCGCACGUAGGCGGCGAUUCAAGUCAGAGGUGAAAGCCCGGGGCUCAACCCCGGAACUGCCUUUGAAACUAGAUUGCUAGAAUCUUGGAGAGGCGAGUGGAAUUCCGAGUGUAGAGGUGAAAUUCGUAGAUAUUCGGAAGAACACCAGUGGCGAAGGCGACUCGCUGGACAAGUAUUGACGCUGAGGUGCGAAGGCGUGGGGAGCAAACAGG